AUACGGAGGGUGCAAGCGUUAAUCGGAAUUACUGGGCGUAAAGCGUACGUAGGCGGUUCGUUAAGUUAGAUGUGAAAGCCCCGGGCUUAACCUGGGAACUGCAUUUAAAACUGGCGGACUAGAGUUGAGUAGAGGGGAGUGGAAUUUCAGGUGUAGCGGUGAAAUGCGUAGAGAUCUGAAGGAACACCAGUGGCGAGGGCGACUCCCUGGACUCGAACUGACGCUGAGGUACGAAAGCGUGGGUAGCAAACGGGAUUAGAAACCCUUGUAGUCC
rnacentral:rRNA from 1 species